UCCCACGACAAGACAUGCAUCAUUUGUUACAAGCAUGUAAAGCUGAAAAUUAUGCGACUAAGAUAAAAGUCGAAUAAUAUAAAGAAAAAGAGAGGCUGAAACAUUUAAGCCCUUGAAGUACCCAAGCUGAAGUCUUCAAGUGUAUUAAAGUUGAAGUCCACAAGUUGAAAUCUUCAAUCCCGUCGGUCUUCAAGUUGAAGUCCUCAAAUCCGCUGAUCUUCAAGUUAAAAUAUUUAGGCCCUCCAAGUCUCAAAGUUGAAGUCUUCAAGUCCGUCGGUCUUCAAGUUGAUGUCUUCAAAUUCGGUGAUCUUCAGGUUGAAAUAUUUAGGCCCUCCAAGUAUCAAAGUCGAAGUCUUUAAGUUCGUCGGUCUUUAAGUUUCGGUCUUCAAAUUCGUUGGUCUUAAAGUUGAAUUGUUUAAGCCCUCAAAAUCUUCGAGUUGAAGUCUGCAAAGUCAGCCAAAUCUUCAAAUUUUCCAAGUGUUCAAGUUGAUGUCGUCUUUGAGUUGAAGCUUUAUAACUCCAAUCUUAAGGUGGACAUAUAAGUCCCUUUGCACCUUAAGUUUCCCUCUUCGUGGGUUUGUCCUUAAAAGGAACUAUAACUUUCCAAUCUUAAGGUGAACAUAUGAGUCCCUUUGCACCGUAAGUUGGUCUCUCCGGUAGUCGGCCAUUUUGAGAGUAAUCUCUCCAAGAAUCGGACCAUUUUGAGAAUAAUCUCUCCAAGAAACGGGCCAUUUUGAGAGUAAUCUAUCCAGGAAUCGCGCCAUUUUGAGAGUAAUCUCUCCAGGAAUCGGGCCAUUUUGAGAGUAAUCUCUCCAAGAAUCGGGCCAUUUUGAGAGUAAUCUCUCCAAGAAUCGGACCAUUUUGAGAGUAACCUCUCCAAGAAUUGGACAGGAAUUAAUACCUAUCCCUGCACACCUGAAGACUGUCUUCUUCAUGCAUGGAUCUUCUUGUUGAGUAAGAACAUAUCUUUUCGCUUGAUUUACAAAAAAAAAAGAGAAUAAGAAAAAAAAAGAUAACAAAGAAGAAAGUACAAGAAAAGAAGAAGAAAUUAGCUUCGCAUUAAUGCUAGCGAAUAUACAAAACUAGACUCAAGUGGCUUGGGAAGAU
rnacentral:lncRNA from 1 species